UGAGGAGGAGGCGCAACGUUCUCUCCUGAGUGUGAAGCUGGCUCUGGAUGUUGCUUCUGCAACUGCCUCUUGCAUUGAUAUUCGCUCUUCUCUUCCUUUAGAGGAGAAGAGAGAAAAUGAAAAAGAA
rnacentral:snoRNA from 1 species